rnacentral:rRNA from 1 species
GCUUGCUCCGGAUCUCUUAGUGGCGAACGGGUGAGUAACGCGUGGGAAUCUACCUUAAAGUGGGGAAUAACUAUUGGAAACGAUAGCUAAUACCGCAUAAUCCCUUAGGGGCAAAGGCUUCGGCCGCUUUUAGAUGAGCCCGCGUUAGAUUAGGCUGUUGGUGAGGUAAUGGCUCACCAAACCUGUAAUCUAUAGCUGGUCUGAGAGGACGAUCAGCCACACUGGGACUGAGACACGGCCCAGACUCCUACGGGAGGCAGCAGUGGGGAAUAUUGGACAAUGGGGGAAACCCUGAUCCAGCAAUGCCGCGUGAGUGAUGAAGGCCUUAGGGUUGUAAAACUCUUUCAGAAGUGAAGAUGAUGACGGUAACUUCAGAAGAAGCUCCGGCUAACUCCGUGCCAGCAGCCGCGGUAAUACGGAGGGAGCUAGCGUUGUUCGGAAUUACUGGGCGUAAAGAGCGUGUAGGCUGUUAGGUAAGUCAGAGGUGAAAUCCCUAAGCUCAACUUAGGAACUGCCUUUGAUACUAUCUUACUAGAGAUCGAGAGAAGUUAGCGGAAUUCCAAGUGUAGAGGUGAAAUUCGUAGAUAUUUGGAAGAACACCAGUGGCGAAAGCGGCUAACUGGCUCGUAUCUGACGCUGAGACGCGAAAGCGUGGGUAGCAAACAGGAUUAGAUACCCUGGUAGUCCACGCCGUAAACGAUGUGUGCUAGCCGUUUGUGAUUUAUCGCAAGUGGUGCAGCUAACGCGUAAGCAC